ensembl:miRNA
UUUAAGGAUAUUUUCAUACAUGGAUAUUUAAUCAGACUGAUAUUUCCAUGAGACAAGUACGAGAAAAUCUCUCUGCACUUUCUUUCUGGCAUUGCCAAUGUCUUAAAAU